AUUGGUCCUGAUCGGCCCCUGGACACAUUUUGGGAGGAGAAUGGUACAGGGGGAUGGAAAGUUCUUUGCAGUCUGAUUUGUAACAGGGUGGAAAGUUUUGUGCAGGCUUUUCCUCCUGGAGCUGCUGAUCUCGCUGUACUGCUGGCCGCACAUUGGGACAGAAAACGCACAUCAUGACGGUCAGACUGCCCGCUCUCUUCUGUUUGCUGUUCCUUAUUACAGGAAUCAGAGGUGACGAUUUUGAUUUGGGCGAUGCUAUAGGUAAG